ensembl:lncRNA LINC02882 long intergenic non-protein coding RNA 2882
AGGGGUUUGGCCCCUUACUCAACCCAACCACGGUCCUCUCCGGCGCAGGCCGAUUUGAGGACCUAGACUCCUUGAUGCUGACGGCCUGAGGGGGCUCCCGGGUGCCGGAUAUCUGACACAGGCCAGGGAGGCUCCCCUGGGAGACCUGGCAGGCCUGGAGGUGUGAGUCGGCUCUGAGCAGCUGCUCUGGGAGAGCCAGUCCACGGAGCCAAAGCUGGAGGGCAGCUGCCGGCCACAAGUUGGGGAGGAGGAGAGACGCAAGGCCGUCAGAUGCUUGUCCUGGAAACCAACCAUGAGCUGUGAUGAAAUCCAGGCAACUGAGUUGUGUUUCAGCCCAAAGCAGCAAAUGGAAUCCAGCUUCAGGACCAUCAUCUGACAUAGGGGAAGAAGACUUACAUAGAAGGCCUAACCAGCACCCAAGAUCAUGGCUGGUGUCAGAGAAGGCUGAAUUGGGUACCAAGACAUUCCUUCUCUCCAGGUGGUAACAAGGACCCUCACAUGGUAUUAAUGAAGACCAAAUGUUUGAAUUUCUGCUUGACUUCUUCAAUUGUGAAAUCUGGAUCUAUGCAGAUUUGCUGCUUGUUGAACCUCUCAAAUACUGAAGGGAAGUUUCCUGGCGGUCUCUCGUCAUAUGCUGUUUACUAAAGGAAUAGUUUCCGAUCUGCUGUAAGAAGUACUAUGCUGUCCAUUUGUUCCAGGACCUUAUCCUCUGCAGAUAAGUGAAUACAGAGCAUUCAGUACCAUGUCAUUGGAGGUAAAAAGAAGGAUGUGAAAGAAGAGUCUCUCUUAACAGCAGCACUCCAGAAGAUGUGGAAAUCUUCCAUUAUCAUGCUACCUCUGUGUUCAUCAUCCAUUGUCACCAUUUUCCCAAACAGAAAACAAGUGAAUGGCAGAAUUCAUCUGAUUCUUUCUUCAAUGCAGAGCUAAACAAAUUACUUGUAGAAAUUAUAUCUACAAAGGCCCUUAGCCUUUUCUCAGACUCCUGAAACCCAAAGCAACCUAACUUCAAACACAGAGAGCAGAAGCAUCUCUUUGUUAAAGACGCUUAUAAACCAAGCUGUAUUCUAGAUAUUAUUUAUUGUCUGAUAAGUACCCUGUACUGUUGAUGCCAAUAUAUCUUUGUAAAAUAUAAGUUUAGAGAAUAUUUAUUUAAGAUAGUUACUCAGGUUUCUAAAUCUUCUUGUGAAAUGCUACAUGCAAUAUGGAUUUCUGAGUGCUCCUUAAACAGGUUGGAAAAUACUAGUUUCAUAAAUAAGUAAAACGAGCAAACAAAAUAAACUAAUAUUGUAAAAAA